rnacentral:miRNA from 1 species
UGAGAUUCAACUUCUUCGACUGA